CUACUUGGRUAACCGWGGUAAUUCUAGAGCUAAUACAWAMUAAAAAUCCCGACUUCGGAAGGGAUGUAUUUAUUAGAUUAAAAACCAAUGCCCUCUGGGCUCCUUGGUGAUUCAUGAUAACUUCUCGAAUCGCACGGCCUUGCGCCGGCGAUGGUUCAUUCAAAUUUCUUCCCUAUCAACUUUCGAUGUUUGGGUAGUGGCCAAACAUGGUUGCAACGGGUAACGGAGGGUUAGGGCUCGACCCCGGAGAAGGAGCCUGAGAAACGGCUACUACAUCCAAGGAAGGCAGCAGGCGCGCAAAUUACCCAAUCCCGCUUCGGGGAGGUAGURACAAUAAAUACUGAUACAGGGCUCUUUUGGGUCUUGUAAUUGGAAUGAGUACACUUUAAAUACAUUAACGAGGAACAAUUGGAGGGAAAGUCUWGUKCCARCAGCCGCGGUAAUUUMMAAUCCAAUAGCGUAUAUUAAARUWRUWGUVGUWMAAMAGCUCRBWGUUGCACCUCUGGGMCUSGCUG
rnacentral:rRNA from 1 species